GAUGAACGCUGGCGGUAUGCUUAACACAUGCAAGUCGUACGAAGAUAAAAUUGUGCUUGCACGAUUUUAUACUUAGUGGCGGACGGGUGAGUAACACGUAAGAAUCUACCUUUUGGCGAGGGACAACCACUGGAAACGGUGGCUAAUACCUCAUAUAACUGAGAAGUGAAAGAUGAAAAUCACCAAGAGAUGAGCUUGCGUCUGAUUAGCUAGUUGGUAAGGUAAAGGCUUACCAAGGCGACGAUCAGUAGCUGGUCUGAGAGGAUGAUCAGCCACACUGGGACUGAGACACGGCCCAGACUCCUACGGGAGGCAGCAGUGAGGAAUUUUCCGCAAUGGGCGAAAGCCUGACGGAGCAAUACCGCGUGAAGGAUUAAGGCCUAUGGGUUGUAAACUUCCUUUCUCAGAGAAGAAUUUUGACGGUAUCUGAGGAAUAAGCAUCGGCUAACUCUGUG
rnacentral:rRNA from 1 species